rnacentral:rRNA from 1 species
AUUGAACGCUGGCGGCAGGCUUAACACAUGCAAGUCGAGCGGGGUGAUGGUGCUUGCACUAUCACUUAGCGGCGGACGGGUGAGUAAUGCUUAGGAAUCUGCCUAUUAGUGGGGGACAACAUCUCGAAGGGGAUGCUAAUACCGCAUACGUCCUACGGGAGAAAGCAGGGGAUCACUUGUGACCUUGCGCUAAUAGAUGAGCCUAAGUCGGAUUAGCGAGUUGGGGGGGUAAAGGCCUACCAAGGCGACGAUCUGUAGCGGGUCUGAGAGGAUGAUCCGCCACACUGGGACUGAGACACGGCCCAGACUUCUACGGGAGGUAGCAGUGGGGAAUAUUGGACAAUGGGGGGAACCCUGAUCCAGCCAUGCCGCGUGUGUGAAGAAGGCCUUAUGGUUGUAAAGCACUUUAAGCGAGGAGGAGGCUUACCUAGUUAAUACCUGGGAUAAGUGGACGUUACUCGCAGAAUAAGCACCGGCUAACUCUGUGCCAGCAGCCGCGGUAA